UACGUAGGAUGCAAGCGUUGUCCGGAUUUACUGGGCGUAAAGCGCGCGCAGGCGGCACUCUAAGUACGUCGUGAAAUAACCCGGCUCAACCGGAAGGGUGCGAUGUAGACUAGGGAGCUAGAGGUCGGUAGAGGGGGGUGGAAUUGCUGGUGUAGCGGUGAAAUGCGUAGAUAUCGUGAGGAACACCAGAGGCGAAGGCGACUUCCUGGACAAUUGCUGACGCUCAGGCACGAAAGCGUGGGGAGCCAAAGGG
rnacentral:rRNA from 1 species